AGGCAGCAGUGGGGAAUAUUGCGCAAUGGGGGAAACCCUGACGCAGCGACGCCGUGUGAGUGAUGAAGGUUUUCGGAUCGUAAAGCUCUGUCGGGUGGAAAGAAUAAAGGCUGUGUAAAUAAUGCAGUCUGAUGACGGUACCACCAAAGGAAGCACCGGCUAACUCCGUGCCAGCAGCCGCGGUAAUACGGAGGGUGCAAGCGUUGUUCGGAAUUAUUGGGCGUAAAGGGCGUGUAGGCGGGUAUACAGGUCAGGUGUGAAAUCCCUCGGCUCAACCGAGGAAGUGCAUUUGAAACCGUAUAUCUUGAGUACGAGAGAGGCAGAUGGAAUUCCCAGUGUAGAGGUGAAAUUCAUAGAUAUUGGGAAGAACACCGGUGGCGAAGGCGGUCUGCUGGCUCGAUACUGACGCUGAGACGCGAAAGCGUGGGGAGCAAACAGGAUUAGAUACCCUGGUAGUCCACGCUGUAAACGAUGUGCACUAGGUGUUGGGGGUAAUUAAACCUUCAGUGCCGCAGCUAACGCAUUAAGUGCACCGCCUGGGGAUUACGGUCGCAAGACUAAAACUCAAAUGAAUUGACGG
rnacentral:rRNA from 1 species